rnacentral:rRNA from 1 species
UACGGAGGGUGCGAGCGUUAAUCGGAAUUACUGGGCGUAAAGCGUGCGUAGGCGGUUAAAUAAGUCAGAUGUGAAAUCCCGGGGCUCAACCUCGGAACUGCAUUUGAAACUGUUUAACUAGAGUAUUGUAGAGGGUGGUGGAAUUUCCAGUGUAGCGGUGAAAUGCGUAGAGAUUGGAAGGAACAUCAGUGGCGAAGGCGGCCACCUGGACAAAUACUGACGCUGAGGCACGAAAGCGUGGGGAGCGAACAGG